CCUACGGGUGGCUGCAGUGAGGAAUAUUGGUCAAUGGCCGGAAGGCUGAACCAGCCAUGCCGCGUGAAGGUCAGUGCCCUAUGGGCGUUAAACUUCUUUUGUGCGGGAGCAAUAAUGGUCACGUGUGGCCAGACGAGAGUACCGUACGAAUAAGCAUCGGCUAACUCCGUGCCAGCAGCCGCGGUAAUACGGGGGAUGCAAGCGUUAUCCGGAUUUAUUGGGUUUAAAGGGUGCGUAGGCUGUGAGGUAAGUCAGCGGGGAAAUGCCCCGGCUCAACGGGGUGAAGUGCCAUUGAUACUGGUUGGCUGGAAUGCGGAUGCGGUGGGAGGAAGGUGUGGUGUAGCGGUGAAAUGCAUAGAUAUCACACAGAACACCGAUUGCGAAGGCAUCUUACGAAUCCGCGAUUGACGCUGAUGCACGAAAGCGUGGGUAGCAAACAGGAUUAGAUACCCCGGUAGUC
rnacentral:rRNA from 1 species